GCGGGUGUAGCUCAAUUGGUUAGAGCAUUCCCCUGUCACGGGAAAGGCUGCGGGUUCGAGUCCCGUCACUCGCG
rnacentral:tRNA from 1 species